rnacentral:lncRNA from 1 species
GUGUGAAAAAGUCCAGCAUGAACUCAGACAGGAUACAGACCAGAACCAGAGCCUCAUGUAGACAGAGCUGCUGCAGAAGGAGCAAUAAGCAUGCCUGCACCCUUGAGAGACCUGAGGAGGAUGAAGGAAAACACGGACAACUUGAAUCCAUGACUGUGUUCAGUCUAGGAUCAAGGCCUCCUCACAAAAGCCAUCUCCUUGUAGAUGAGAACUCAACAGACUGUCUGGAAUCAGUUGUGGCAUCACAAUCCUGUAACACCAGAACUCCCAGGCAGAGAUGGAUGUCUGCAAGUGCCAAGUGGCUUGGUCUACACAGUGUGAAAAAGUCCAGCAUGAACUCAGACAGGCCACAGACCAGGACCAGAGCCUCCUGUAGAUCAAGCUGCUGCAGAAGGAGCAAUAAGCAUGCCUGCACCCUUGAGAGACCUGAGGAGGAUGAAGGAAAAUACGGACAACUUGAAUCCAUGACAGUCUUCAGUCUAGGAUCAAGGCCUCCUCACAAAAGCCAUCUCCUUGUAGAUGAAAACUCAACGGGCAGCCACUUGACCGUCAACAACAACAACAACAACAACAACAAUAAUAAAGACUGUGGAUGUUGCUGCUGA